CACGGGGUAUGGCUAUAUAGGUCUUGUAGAGGAGAAACAGGCGCAUCGUUUGCGCAAGGUUUCAAGUGGCGCUAUGUU